GAUGAACGCUGGCGGCGUGCCUAAUACAUGCAAGUCGAGCGAACAGACGAGGAGCUUGCUCCUCUGACGUUAGCGGCGGACGGGUGAGUAACACGUGGAUAACCUACCUAUAAGACUGGGAUAACUUCGGGAAACCGGAGCUAAUACCGGAUAAUAUAUUGAACCGCAUGGUUCAAUAGUGAAAGACGGUUUUGCUGUCACUUAUAGAUGGAUCCGCGCCGCAUUAGCUAGUUGGUAAGGUAACGGCUUACCAAGGCAACGAUGCGUAGCCGACCUGGGAGGGUGAUCGGCCACACUGGAACUGAGACACGGUCCAGACUCCUACGGAAGGCAGCAGUAGGGAAUCUUCCGCAAUGGGCGGAAGCCUGACGGAGCAACGCCGCGUGAGUGAUGAAGGUCUUCGGAUCGUAAAACUCUGUUAUUAGGGAAGAACAAAUGUGUAAGUAACUAUGCUCGUCUUGACGGUACCUAAUCAGAAAGCCACGGCUAACUACGUG
rnacentral:rRNA from 1 species